rnacentral:snRNA from 1 species
AUCGCUGCUUGGCCUUUUGGCUAAGAUCAAGUGUAGAACCCUUGCUCAGAGAGAAACUCCCUCCUCCCACAAUGACUUAUCCCUCAGAUAUAAUUACUAUUGUCCACCUGUGGGGACAUUCUCUCCUCAAAAAUUAUUUUUUAUUGCAUCCACUGGCAUAUUUUUAAAUACAGAUAGAAUGAAACCAUAGGUACUGCUUUCCAGUCUGCUUGUUUUCACUCUGC